AUACGGAGGGGACAAGCGUUAUUCGGAAUCACUGGGCGUAAAGGACGCGUAGGCGGGUUAUUAAGUCGGGUGUGAAAUCCAAUGGCUCAACCAUUGAACUGCAUUCGAAACUGAUAUCCUAGAGUAUGGAAGGGGCAGGUGGAAUUGGUGGUGUAGGGGUAAAAUCCGUAGAUAUCACUAGGAAUACCGAAAGCGAAGGCGACCUGCUGGAACAUUACUGACGCUGAGGCGUGAAAGCGUGGGGAGCAAACAGGAUUAGAAACCCCGGUAGUCC
rnacentral:rRNA from 1 species